GCGUACGGUUCUUUUCAAGUUAUUUUCAUUGUGUAACGUGUUGUGGUAUUCAAUGUAACGAAGCCCUCCCGAUAAGUCUGUAUAAAAUUUGUUUUGUACCGACGAAAUUUAUUUGGGUUGACUUCCAGCAUUGAAAAGACAAUUCGCGAGUCGCCGAAACAUUUUGCGGUUACAGUGUGACGAAAAUGAUUUUGAGAUAAAUUCUACAGUGUAGUGAUUAUUGUGUUGAGGA
rnacentral:lncRNA from 1 species